rnacentral:lncRNA from 1 species
UUUCGCCUAUUCCGAAGAGGGGUCAAGUGAAGAUAGGGAUAGUGGUAGGAUUAGCAAACUCAGUUGCUUCCAUCUUCACUCCUCAGCGUCCAUCAAUGUACAAGCAGCAUUCUUCUAGUUAACUCGUAACUAUUGGGAAUAGUACGUGCUUGUGUUGUGAAGAUGCCUAGCCGCAGAUAGCUUUUGCCUCUUGAUUUUCCAUUCUUUUUUAUUUCGGAAAAGAUUUGAGCUUCAUGUACUGGAUCUUAAAGAGUUUGUAUAUUGUAGAUUUUUGCAUCAGAUAUGAAAUGGAGUCUGUAUUCUAUCUCUUUUGUUCACAACUUGGCUAGGAUCGGUACUCAAUCUCAAUUAAUUAACCUCUACGAUUAAGAAGCAUUUCAAGCUAAUUAAUUGAAACUGGAACCCCAAAAGAACAAGUUUAUCAAAUUAAAGUCGUUUGUCGUCUCAAAUCGGCCGUCACAUAGGAGCUAAUAUUGCCUACUCGACUAGCUAGGCAUUGGGUAGAAUAUGCAAUACUGUCAAAGGCAAAAGAACACUGUAAACUCGAUCAGAGAACUUUCUAUAAUUUGUAUGCAAGUAAUGUAACAGAGGGAGCGUAGUCAUUGUUUGAGCCCAGUGGGUAUUUUGGUCCAAGACUCGGGGUACGUUUUAGAUAACAUUUGGGCCAGUACCUGUGGCCCUUUUUUAAUGCGAAGCCCACGAAGGGUGGCGAGGUCUGGCAACACGCGAGCUGGAGUUUUGCAAGGAUUCUGAUACCCCGCGGGAUUCGAUGUCCUCGCGAGGUCCUUUGUUUCAGUUCGUGUAGGAUUUUGCAGUGCAUGGUGAGGUAGAGUUGGAAAUGGACUGUAGUACUCCGCGGGAUAGGAUCGCUUAGUGUUCGAGUUCGCGUACGACGCUACAGUGAGAUGAUGCGGAGCGGUGAGCGAGACCUAGGCGAGAUCUGUUCUGGACAUGUGUUGCAUGGACCGCGCGGCUCGCGAGCUGGUCCUAUCCUUGUGGAAUUCUAAUUGGUGAGUCCGAGUGGGUUGUGAUUAGGUCUCUGCGAAUUGCUUGCGGAUCGCUAUAUAAAGGAGUUCGAGCAGACCUUCUAACACACACAAUCAAAUCAUACAAAACAAUUACAAAUCCUCGAGCAUCCUCAAAACCCUAAGUUCUAAGUGCACUUCGCCUUAGUUCUCAGACCCCUCCCUGAUUCGCCUUUCUCCCUAUUUGUUGCUCUGCUCGCUCUAACAGUGAGUAUCGAUUCACAAGUGACAAGAGGUUUUACUCGUAAUCCCUCGUCCGCGAGGUGGCACCGGUAACCCCUUCUUCGCUUGUUUAGAAGUCUAGCCGCAGCGCAUUUCUUUCCUCGUCCACGAGGUGGCACGCCCCGCAAUCUCCUUUUUAACUUUUGAGUCACCGGAGUUCCGACUCUGCCCCUGUUAAGACGCGUGGCCAAAACAGUCAUCAUCAGACAUUCAGACUCAUGGACCAAUGUCCACACGACAUUGAUCAAUAUAUUCAAGCCUCACCGUCCAAACUGAUGGGAGAGACUAGUACGAGUUAAUGUUGAUCACAUCAUUAUGUUUCAUAAAAGGCAUAAAUGGCCUUUUAUUUAAUAUCAUCAACCAAACCCUAAUAUCAUAAUCCCACACUGCUUAGAUCCGAAUCUAUGCCUAUUUAACACCAUCAAACAUAAUUUUCAACAUGUGUAGAUCUUGGGAAGAAGUACAUGCAUGAACCUCAUUAGUCCUUUUCAGUACAAUUUAAAUUCAAUGAAUGUUGGUUUCAUCAUGUACCUUUGAAAUUAUAACAUAUGGUCCUAACUAAUUAUUCAAUUCAAAUAAAACUUUCUGAUUGUGAAGUGUUUUAAGAUCACACUCUUUCUCAUGUUUUUCUUUAAAUUAAUUCCCGUCCUCCACUCUCNGAAAUACAGCCAUAUAUAUAUAUAUAUAUAUAUAUAUAUAUAUAUAUAUANNNNNNNNNNNNNNNNNNNNUAAAGUAAGUCACUCCCUUCACUAAACAAAGAAAGGUUCUUCUAAACAGAGAUUACAAGAUCUUCUAAGAUUAGUGAAGGCUAUUUGAGUUUGUUCACCUUAAGUAUAAAUUAAGUAUAUAAUUGCAUGAAAUAUCCCAACUUUUACUAAUCACAUUGGAACAUUGGCUCAUAAAGAAUUGGCUUCUUUGAUCAAAAUAAUUGGCUUCUUUUUUGUAGUGGGAUGGAGCUUUAUGAGCAUGUGACUAAUUAGGUGGAUUUGUUCAUACUUCAUAGCAUGUAGGAACCAAGAAUUUAAAAGGGUUAAAACUGCCCUACUUCAGUUCUUUAACUUGAUUAACUAAACAUCUCUUAUAAUUAGGUGUGCUAAUCAUCUGUUUGUUUAUAAAUACAUAAACUAGUAUGCCUUCAGAUACCAAAUUAACCCUAGCUAGUUUGAUAUAUAGCUGAUAGUUUUAUUAGACCAGUCUAGAAAUGUGAUGUACUAAUGAAAUUGUAGCAAGUAAACUCAACAGCUGGCUAGCUAGGUCAAUAAUCAAAAUUGAAUUGCCAACUGAAAAUCAAAUUCCAUGAGCAAAGACUUGAGAAUGAGACUGUUUUUCCUUUCUCAUUACUUUUUGAACCCCUUUCUCAUAUUUGGUUAGUGUAAUUGAUUAACUUAAUUGUGCCCUAUGUGCUGCAUAUGAACCAUGCUCCCUCAAUAAUUGCACACACAUCUAUUAUUAAACUAAGUAUCAGGUUCAAUUAGCAGCCUUAAUUUUGUUCAUAAUCUAAAUCAUUAGAUACGAUUUGUUCCCUUAAACACAAUCUGACAUGAUAAAUUAUAAUACUGUGUGCAUUAGGCUCAUACAUGAAAGUACAAUGAAUCAAGGUGCUUCCUCUAUCAGAGUCGGUGAAUGGUAUUGGCAUUGCUCCAUAAUUGUACUUGAUGAGAAUAAUAUGAACGAUGGGAUAAACACAAACUUAGAUAACUAGCAUUUCAUGUCAAUAAUUUUUCUUCUAUUCUUAUACUUGUUUUCUAACACAUAAGAAAAUGCGAUACGCUAAUAAUAUAGAAGAUUAAAUUAGUUCUGUAAAAUUAUUAGAAGAUAAGAACACUAGCUAAUUGUCUAUAAGUUCGAUAAAAAAUCAUUGUAUAGUUAAUUUAACAAAUCAAACAUAGAAAUGAAUGAUUUUAGAUCGUCGAAGUAAAACAAUAAAUUCAAACUUCUUAUCUCUCUAUCACAUCAUAUCAAUUUUAGAGAAGACGUGGGCAUGAAGAAAGAAAGAAACAAAGAAGGUUUGGUCCAUGCCAGAUCCAGAGCUAGCUUUGGCCCUUUGGGAAAAAGAUGCGCUAACAAACAAAAGAGCUGCCUCUGGGAAUCUGGAUAGGAGUGCUCAGUCAAUGAGUAAGAUAGUUCUUGUUAUAAGAACCAAUUUGACCACGUGCUUAAUUUGGUAUAGUUAUCCCACUAACAAUUUUCAUGAUUAAAAGUUGUUGCGGUUAUUGUUGGGAGAGUGACUUUCCAAGGUCAAGUCGCCCUGAAGAUAAGCUUUUCCGGUUGCGAAUUCAAGGUGAAAGCCUUGGCAUUUUAUAAUGGAAACCCGACAAGACCCACAGUGUUCACAUAGAACGUGAACUUUGGGAGAGUCAAGAUUGUCUUGUCAAACAAAAAAAUUUGCAGUCAAAUUCUACGAGCAAGAUUAACGUUAAAAAACGAUGAGGGUGGUCAGAGUCUUUGAGCACUAUAUAAAGCACGAGGAAGAUGACCAAAAUCACAAACUCAAACACAGCUUCAAGUUUCAAGCUUUUCUUCUUCCUCUCUCUCUCUCUCUCUCUUAGUUUCGGUGACUUGUUUUGGAUAUCAAAGCAAACCCAGAAGCAAAAACUAGAUGGAAGGUGCAAGGAGUGCUAUGAUCAACGGUGGGAACUUGUCUCAGAGGAUUUCUGGCCGUCUGAUCCCCAAGAGGGGUCAGGUGAAGAUGGCCAUAGUUGGGAUUCUGCUUCACUCUGUUUCUUCUAUGUUCUCUCACCGUCGUGGUGGUGCUGAUGCUCCUCAUCAUUUCUCUUAGAUGUUUUGUCUGUGUGGGGAUUUCUAGAUGAGUGGUUGCAGAGUUUGAGCUUCUGUUUUGUGCAUCAAAGGUUGUACAAAGUUCUAAACUUUCAUCACAAACACUAGCUUACUACACAUUAAAGGGUGCAGAGAAUUACUUAUCAGAGAUGGAGAGUUCCACAGCCAAUGCCACUUCCGGGAGAAUGGUGAACGCCGGAGACUUUUCGCGUCGGUGUCAUGCGCGGCGCCCUAUUCCGAAGAGGGGUCAAGUGAAGAUAGGGAUAGUGGUAGGAUUGGCAAACUCAGUUGCUUCUAUCUUCACUCCUCAGCGUUGAUCCAUGAACAAGCAGCAUUCUUCUAGUUAACUCGUAACUUGUGAAGAUGCCUAGCUGCAGAUAGCUUUUGCCUCUUGAUUUUCCCUUCUUGUUUUUUUUUUCGGAAAAGAUUUGAGCUUCAUGUACUGGAUCUUAAAGAGUUUGUAUAUUGUAGAUUUUUGCAUCAGAUAUGAAAUGGAGUUCGUAUUCUAUCUCUUUUGUUCACAACUUGGCUCGGAUCGGUAUUCAAUCUCAAUUAAUUAACAUCUAGGAUUAAGAAGCAUUUCAAGCUAAUUGAAACCCGAACCCCAAAAGAACAAAUUUAUCAAAUUAAAGUAACGCGUUGUCGCCCCAAAUGGACAGUCACAUAGGAGCUAAUAUCGCGCCUACCUGACUAGGCAUUGGGCAGAACAUGUAAUACUGUCAAAGGCAAAGGAAACACCAUAAACUUAAGAAAAAUUUCUAUAAUUUGUAUGUAAGAGAGGGAGCGUAGUCAUCAUCAGACUCAUGAACCGAUUUCCACACUACGUUGAUCGAUAUAUUCAAGCCUCAUAAUGACCUUUAUUUUAGGGAUAAUGACCUAAUGCACAAAAACAACAAAAUUAAAACCCACUUGAAUGAAAAUCUGUUUUUAUGCCCAUUUCAAUUAAUAUUACACAAAUAAUUAUUAUACUCUCUCAAUUACCUUUUCUGAUCUCUCUUUUUACCCACACAAACCUCAUCCUUCUCUCUCUCUCUCUNNNNNNNNNNNNNNNNNNNNACCACACUCUCUCUCUCUCUCUCUCUCUCUCUCUCUCUCUCUCUCUCUCUCUCUCUCAUCCACGAGCACAAGGAACACAACGUCUCAAUUCCGUCAGAUCCAUGAUGACCACGACGACGAGGACGUCUCUCAGUUCCGGUGCGGCAACAUCCGGAUUCAUAUCUCAUGUCGGCCGACGAUGACGCAAUCAUAGAUCGAACGCUCAGUUUUGAGCGAUGCGAGCGAAUAAGAAGCCGGAGAUGACCGGGUCGGAGGUCUUCAAAACAAAGCCUGCAUUCAGAUCUCUACAAAAGCAGAGAAUCAAACUUCGACGUUUGAUUCCUUCCCAGAGACUGAGACCUCGUCGCUCGUCGCUCUGGCGCUCUACGCUCGCCAGUCAUUGCUCAACGCUCGGCCUAACUGAAGCAGAUCUGGUCCUGAGCCUCCUCCCAAGCGCUGACGACAAAUGUAGUAGUGAUUUUUUGUUGUUAAACUACUCUCUCUCUCUCUCUGUGGAAACUACUCUCUCCCAUCAAGCAUCGCCGACGAUGACGUCGGUCGAGAUCGAGGACGCAUCUCGACAAUGACGCACCACUGCUAUGGCCGUAGUCGAGCCUAUGCAUGAUCUUGUGGUCGUCCACAAUUUUUACGAUGAAGAUAGAGACAAGGUGAUAUCUUUUGAUAUAUUUCUUCUUAUUGGUCAGUAAACUGUUUAUUAGAAGUUUAUUGCCUUCCAGUAAAAGUUUACUGCCCCCAGUAAAAUCCAGUAGAAGUUUACUGCUUUCCCAGUAGAAGUUUACUACCUCCUAACAAAACAUUUUUCAUCAUUACUGCCUCUCAAUAAGGUUUUAUUGACCUUAGUAGAAGUUUACUGUCCCUCAGUAAAAUCUCAGUAGAAGUUUACUGCUCCCCGGUAGAAGUUUAAUAUCUCCCAGUAAAAUAUUUUUCAUCAUUACUACCCUUCAAUAAGGUUUUAUUGACCUCAGAGAAAUUUACCGUAUUUAAGUAAAAAUUACUUGAAGAGAGGUUGAGGGGAUGGAACUGAAGCCAAAUUAACCUACUAUGUGUAUAAUCUCACCAAGAUUCAUAUGAAGAAUUAUCAUCAACCAAACCCUAAUAUCAUAAUCCCACUGCAUAUAGAUUCCCACCAUGAUCAAACAUAAUUUUUAACAUGUGUACUGUUCUUACUUCUUAGAUCUUAGGAAGAAGUACAUGCAUGAACCUCAUCAUUAGUCCUUUUCAGUACAAUUUUUAAAUUCAAUGAAUGUUGGUUUCAUCAUGUACCUUUGAAAUUAUAACAUAUGGUCCUAACUAAUUAUACAAUUCAAAUAAAACUUUCGGAUUGUGAAAUGUUUUAAGAUCACACUCUUUCUCAUGAUUUUCUUGAACUUUAUUCCUGUCCUCCACUCUCAGAAAAUAACAGCCAUAUAUUAAGGUUUCUCUAAUAAAGUAAGUCACUCCCUUCACUAAACAAAGAAAGGUUCUUCUAAACAAAGAUUACAAUAUCUUCUAAGAUUAGUGAAGGCUAUUUGAUUUUGUUCACCUUAAGUAUAAAAUAUAUAAUUGCAUGAAAUAUCCCAACUUUUACUAAUCACAUUGGAACAUUGGCUCAUAGAGAAUUGGCUUCUUUUCUGUAGUGGGAGCUUUAUGAGCAUGUGACUGAUUAGGUGGACUUGUUCAUAGCAUGUAGGAACCAAGAAUUUAAAAGGGUUAAAAUUGCCCUACUUAAGUUCUUUAACUUGAUUAACUAAACAUCUCUUAUAAUUAGGUGUGUUAAUCAUCUGUUUGUUUAUAAAUAUAUAAACAAGUAUGCCUUCAGAUACCAAACCCUAGCUAGUAGCUAGAUAUAUAGCUGAUAGUUUUGUUAAACCAGUCUAGAAAUGUGAUGUACUAAUGAAAUUGUAGCAAGUAAACUCAACAGCUGGCUAGCUAGGUCAAUAAUCAAAAUUGAAUUGCCAACUGAAAAUCAAAUUCUAUGAGCAAAGACUUGAGAAUGAGACUGUUUUUCCUUUCUCAUAACUCUUUGAACCCCUUUCUCAUAUUUGGUUAGUGUAACUGAUUAACUUAAUUGUGCCCUAUGUGCUGCAUAUGAACUAUAUGUGCUCCCUCUAUAAUUGCACACACAUCUAUUAUUAAACUAAGUAUCAGGUUCAAUUGGCAGCCUUAAUUUUGUUCAUAAUCUAAAUCAUUAGAUACGAUUUGUUGCCUUAAACACAAUCUGACAUGAUUAAUUAUAAUACUGUGUGCAUUAGGCUCAUACAUGAAAGUACAGUGAAUCAAGGUGCUUCCUCUAUCAGAUUCAGUGAAUGUAUUGGCAUUGCUCCAUAAUUGUACUUGAGAAUAAUAUAUAUGAACGACGGGAUAAACACAGACUCAGAUAACUAGCAUUUCAUGUCAAUAAUUUGUCUUCUAUUCUUGUACUUGUUUUCUAACACAUAAGAAAAUUAGAUACUCUAAUAAUGUAGAAGAUUAAUUUAGUUCCGUACAAAUUAUUAGAAGAUAAGAACACUAGCUGAUUGUCUAUAAGUUCGAUACAAAAUCAUCGUAUAGUUAAUUUGACACAUCAAACAUAAAAAUGAACAAUUUUAGAUCGUCGAAACUAGAUCUCGUGUACUUACUCAAAGUAGAAAAACAAUAAAUUCCAUUUUUUAUCUCUCUAUCAUAAAACUCGACUUCAGUGACAAAGACCGGUCACAUCGUAUCAAUCAUAAAAAUGAACAAUUUUAGAUAGUCGAAACUAAAUCACGUGUACCCGCUCAUAGUAGAAAAACAAUAAAUUCCACUUCCUAUCUCUCUAUCACAUCAUAUCAAUUUUAGAGAAGACGUGGGCAUGAAGAAAGAAAGAAACAAAGAAGGUUGGGUCCAUGCCAGAUGCAGAGCUAGCUUUGGCUCUAUGGGAAAAAGAUGCGCUAACAAACAAAAGAUCAGCUGCCUCUGGGAAUCUGGAUAGUAGUGCUCAGUCAAUGAGUAAGAUAGCUCUUGUUAUAAGAACCAAUUUGACCUCGUGCUUAAUUUGUUAUAGUUAUCCCACUAGCAAUUUUCAUGAUUAAAAGUUGUUGCGGUUCUUGUUGGGAGAGUGACUUUUCAAGGUCAAGUCGCCGUGAAGAUAAGCUUUUCCGGUUGCGAAUUCAAGUUGAAAGCUUUGGCCGUUUUGGCUUUUUAUAAUGGAAACCCGACAAGACCCACAGUGUUCACAUUGAACGUGACCAAACUUGGGGGAGUCAAGAUUGUCUUGUUUUCAAACAAAAAAAUUUGCAGUCAAAUUCUACGAGCAAGAUUAACGUUAAAAAACGAUGAGGGUGGUCAGGGUCUUUGAGCCUAUAUAAAGCACGAGGAAGAUGACCAAGAAUCACAAACUCAAACACAGCUUCAAGUUUCAAGCUUUUCUUCUUCCUCUCUCUCUCUCUCUUAGUUUCAGUGACUUGUUUUGGAUAUCAAAGCAAACCCAGAAGCAAAAACUAGAUGGAAGGUGCAAGGAGUGCUAUGAUCAACGGUGGGAACUUGUCUCAGAGGAUCUCUGGCCGUCUGAUCCCCAAGAGGGGUCAGGUGAAGAUGGCCAUAGUUGGGAUUCUGCUUCACUCUGUUUCUUCUAUGUUCUCUCACCGUCGUGGUGGUGCUGAUGCUCGUCAUCUCUCUUAGCUGUUUUGUCUGUGUGGGGAUUUCUAGAUGAGUGGUUGCAGAGUUUGAGCUUUUGUUUUGUGCAUCAAAGGUUGUACAAAGUUUUGUAGUUUACAGAUUAGUGAAUUGUAGUUGGUUAUCUUUGGUUUUGAUCUAGUAUUUCGAUCAACAAUCUCGAUUGUCUCUAUGUAACUUCCAAAAUCAAAGAGUGAAUCUUUAGACUGAAAUUCAUGUGGGUUUUACUAUUUAGCGCAUCAUUUGUUGCACAAGAAGCAUUUAACUGGCAUUGUGAUCUUUAAAUCUAAACAAAAUGGCACCCAAUUCCACAUAGGGAGAACAAAGUUGAAGAAAGCCUAAAUCCAACUCAAGAGACUUGGCCUUCUAACAUGUAUAUAAGUAUAAGCCUUGGAAGAUUAGUUGGGAAAGGAAUAAGUAGUUGUGUUGCUUCAACCUAUUCUUGAGUUGUCUCUGCCAAACACAAGCGUGGUAGCCCAGUUCACAGCAACAUAGAACCUGUUCCUCCAACUUACAACCCGGGUAAGAUAAGCAGAGCGCCAGAUGAACCAGCUAACAAAUCCAGCAUGGGAUAUGCCCUUUGAAUCCUGCAACAAAAUUGUAGUUAGAAGUUUAAUUGAAAGCCUAGUUUUUGGUUUUGAAGCACAUUCAUCAUCGUUUAGAGUAACAGUUUUGAUGAACACUGACCUUGGAUUUGCGCAGAUCAACGAGUGCCUUAUAACUCCCAACGGAUGCCAUGCUUCCGAGGUGCUUGUAGACAAAAGGUUCUCCCAGAGAGAUAUCUUUUGCACUCAUGGCCUUACCUGCCUCCUUCCCAAUCCUGUUAAACAACUCCACCAGAAAUUUUCCUUGCCUUUCUGCCACCUAUUUCAGACAAUGUGAAAUGAAUUGUAAUUAGGAGUUUGAAAAUAUACAGUCUUGAACUUGUUGAGCACUGAGCGAAAGAAAUGCCAGAACAAUAACAAUGUCACCCCAAGCAGUUAGAUUUUGUUUUUCCAUUUUCAUAGGGAACAAAAAGUAGAGCUUCUCAACCAGAUAUGAAAAUCCAAGAUGGUCUUGCAGUUGCCUCCAUCUGUUUUAUCAGGCUUUUGACAGUAGCAAGACAGAUAGCACAGACAUAUAACAAUCUUGCUAGCAAUGCAUUAUUCGUAGAGCACAAAGCUGGUUCUAACCUGAGCUAAAGCUGGAAGCACUGGCAUCCCAGUCUCUUCAAGAAAACCUGCGCAAUCUCCAAGUGCAAACACAUCUUCCACAGAAGGAACUCGCAUCCACCCAUCGACACCAACCCUGCAUCAGUCAAUAGUAAUUGUUAAAGAUCGUUAAUCCAACAGAAUUCAGUUGUCCACCAAUGAAGACAAGAUAAGAGAAAGAUAUGCUGGUGCAUAUACCUUCCACCAGGGGACUUGGGAAGAUUAAGUGAUUUCACAAACUGUGAGGGACCAACCCCAGUAGACCAGACCAAAAGGCCAUAUGGAACAUCAGUUCCAUCAUUAAGAACUAUCUUCUUGGCAUGCACCUCUUUCACAACACCUCGCAUAAGGUUAACACCACACUAGCGCAAAAAGUUCAUAUUUCAUAUUAGGUCUCCAAACUAACAAAAAAUGUCAACCAGGAAACUGAAUGCAAAUGAACUAACCUUGGUCAGGUGGUUCGUUGCGUACUGCCUCAAUCCAACAUCAAAGGAUGACAGUAUUUCAUUUGCCUGUUCCAGUAAAUCACAUAAUUAUGAUCAGUGACAAAAUAAUUUUUUCUUGGUAAAAAGUCAUAUAUAGGAGUGAAUGAGUAACAAGUACCUCAAUGAGGGUGACUUUGAUGUAAUCCUUAACAUGAGUAUACCGUUCACGGACAUCUUUCAUGAUGAAAUCACUCAAUUCGCCACUGAACUCCACCCCGGUAGGGCCACCUCCAAUAACAACACAAUGCAGGAGGCGUUUCCUUUCUUCCUCAGAUAUGCCUGAAAAUGAAUGUGAUAAGAUGAUUUAGAGAGUAAAUCCAAUGUUUGACAUUUUUAUGUAGAGAUUGAGGAGGCUCACCUGGAUUUUCAGAGAGCAUCAAGUUCAAGAGAAGCUUCUUUCUAAUUUCUUGGGCAUGAUACACUUCUCGGAGGAAAAAUGCAUGCUCCGCAACACCUUUGAUACCAAAUGUCAAGGGCUCAGAUCCAGCUGCUAUGACAAGCUUGUCAUAGGCAACUCUGAAUCUGUAAGGAUCACUAGGCAAAUCACCAUGGCCGACUGUCUCACAGUACACCUAUAUGAAAUACGAAGAUCAAGUUUAUCUGCUGCUAUGACCAAUCAACAGAGAAGCUGUUAUUCCAUCUUCCUUAUUGUACAGUCUAAAUAUUAAUAAUGUUCCAUGGAAAAAAGUAAAUUGUCCAUUUUGAAAAAAUCAGCUUCUGAUUUCAGAUCAAACUUCAACUUGAAGAACAUACAUCUUGUCUCAAAUUGAGCCUAGUAUGUAUUACUUCACUAGAACUCCAUUAGGAGAGACUUUUGACAUCAGAACUUAUAUUGUUACUUCAUUUCAAAACCCGAUAUCUGAGUCAGAUUUACAGCACCAUUAAAUCAUGAAAGAAAUACAUGGGGAACAUCAUUGUGUUAAUGAAAUUAGUGAGAAAAUAAUCUUGAAUUACAUGCUAUUUACGACACUGCACAGAUAAACCUGAAACCAAAAUUUUGAUGAACAAAUCUUGACUAGACAAAGUAAGAAUAGAAUUUGAUUACCUCAUGUUUCUGUGUGUCAAUACUAAAGCAAUUAGCCAGAUAGAAGUAUGAAUUGGGAUUCGUUGCUAAUGCAGACUGUAUACGACUGACAGGUUCAGCAACUGAACGGAAUUCCAAAGUACCAACACAAGUUGAAGGAAGCAAAGGAGUAAAAACCAUGUGAUUACGCGGAGAUAUGCAAACAACAUCAUAAAUCUUGGUGUCUAGUCCCUUAAGGAAUCGACAGGCAGCCCAGCCAGUACCAAGGACAACCACUCUUGGCUUUUCACCUGGCUUAGUUGCCUGUAGUCCUGGAUACUUGGGAUCAUUACACUCUGAAUCAGACUCCUCAACAAUAAUUUCGGCAGAAGGAUAUUUAUAACUUGGGGUUGUCCUUAGUCCCCUGCUCCAAUAGCUACUGUGAUUCACCUUUGGAAUGCUGGAAAGGUAUGAGAAAUUUCUGUUUCUGGCAUCGUUCUCAAGCGAAGGUAAGGAACAAUAUUUGCGUGUGGAUGCUCCCUCAGAGAACAUAUCCUUCUCACUUCUGUGACCACCAUAGGCACCUCCAGACCUUCUGUAGCUGCUCCUAGCAGUCCUAGCAAUCCUUUCAAAUGCCAUUGUGAGAGUAUCAGUCCCUCAAUCAAGACUUAUAUGUACUCUCUGAACUAUCUAAACGGAAUCAAAUUCUUGGUUGCUCAACCUGUGGAAUUGAACAGUAGACAAAGAAGUGAGCAAUGAGAAUAGUAAACAGAGAGGUUAACAUUUGAUGGCACACAUAUUUAUAGGUAGCUGUAUGUACCACUCCAAAAAAUGUGGAGAGGUCAUGACACUAGGCAGGACAAAUUAAGAUCUAGUCCAUUCUAAAACAAAGCAAGUUCAUAAUGGACAACGAUUGCUUCCAAGAUUAAUUGACAAGAAAACAAAAACCAACAUAGCUUUGGUCAUCAGUCGAUGGCAGAAACAAAGAGAAAGCUCUUGUAAAUUUAGCAGCUAAUAAAAAGCUAAAAAUGACAGUAUCUUUUUACUUCUACAUUGCCAAAGGCACAUAAUAAUCGACAAACCCAACUCAUCAUUCUUUCUACUACAGUGAUUAUUAUGUCAAAUUUAGAAUCUCAGCCAUCACAAUCAUGAAUACUCUAAUGUAUAAAGCUAGGCUCAAUUAAAUGGCAACAACCAAAAUAUCUAAGCAGAAAGCUCUCUGCUUUAUAUGAAAAAUCAACAUGAAAGACAGAAAUUGGUAAACCCAGAACAAGAAAAGAACUUUCAAGAUCAAAGACCAAUCUGCAGUAGAAAAAACCCAGAUCUUAUACACACCCAAUAAAAAGAAGCAGAAAAUGCAUACAAAAUGAGGAAUACAAAACCAUUGAAAAGCAAUGGAACAUGAACAUAUAACACCAAUAAAAAUGUGAUCUUUAUGAAUAAAAAAGUUAUCAUUAUGAAGCUGAAGGGUUUAGAAGAUUUACUGGGGUUUUGGUUUACACAGAGCUGCGUGAUCUCCAAGAUUAUGGGAGUGUAGCUUUUUUUAAUCCAAAUGUGAAAUGCCAACAGAUCGCUGAAGACUUGGUGUUUGUAAAAAAAAAAUUGAGAAUUGCAAAAAUGGUGAGAGUGGGGAGUUGAAAGGAGCCAACUUGGGGAGCAAGAAAGUUGGUUUGUUGAGAUUUGAGAAGUGCUUUUUGAUCAAGUAGUGGUCAAAAAAAGUUGGUGAUGAUAAAAAAAAAAACUGGAAGAGAAAAUUACAAAGGGUGUGUGUGUUGGUUCUGUUUGUGUGGGAAGGAAGUUCAAGCAUCAAGCAUAUGCCUUGUCUGGCAUUUUGGUAAAUCAGAGUUGUCUGAAAAGAGAACACAGAGCAGGCUUGGCAAUUGCAGUGUCGUUUUUGUGUGGUUGAAUCAGUAAAACAGGUUUUUGAAUUAGCUGCAGCCUCCACCUGUAUGUGUGUAAGACCUGUUUGGCUCCCUUAAACCCUGAAGCUCUCCCCUAAAACCCUCCUAAAACCCUAGUCAAUGGUGAAUGAGACAAAGAGUGAAGAUUUGCCAAAUAUCUAGUAGGCGGCUGUAAUUUCAUUCCAUUUUCAUUUCAUUCGCAUUUAUGAUCAAUUAUUUCCUAUUUUGGGGACUCAAUGAGUUUUGGACUGAGUUUGGUCAGAAAAUUUAGAGAUGGGCCUACGUGUCUGAUCCAGGUCUUUUGUGUCACAUCCAAAUGACUUCAGCAGCUACAUUGAGUUUGUUUUGCUUGUCAAAUUACGUUUGAGAAACUCAAACAUGCUUUUGCUUUUGCAAUGUUUGUUUGAUCGGCAAGAUAAUUCUUUUAAGGAUUAGGCAACUUGUUAGUGACGAUAUUAAACCAAAAAAAAA